rnacentral:rRNA from 1 species
AUUGAACGCUGGCGGCAGGCUUAACACAUGCAAGUCGAGCGGAGAGAGGUAGCUUGCUACUGAUCUUAGCGGCGGACGGGUGAGUAAUGCUUAGGAAUCUGCCUAUUAGUGGGGGACAACAUUUCGAAAGGAAUGCUAAUACCGCAUACGUCCUACGGGAGAAAGCAGGGGAUCUUCGGACCUUGCGCUAAUAGAUGAGCCUAAGUCGGAUUAGCUAGUCGGUGGGGUAAAGGCCUACCAAGGCGACGAUCUGUAGCGGGUCUGAGAGGAUGAUCCGCCACACGGGGACUGGGACAUGGCCCAGACUCCUACGGGAGGCAGCAGUGGGGAAUAUUGGACAAUGGGCGCAAGCCUGAUCCAGCCAUGCCGCGUGUGUGAAGAAGGCCUUAUGGUUGUAAAGCACUUUAAGCGAGGAGGAGGCUACUUUAGUUAAUACCUAGAGAUAGUGGACGUUACUCGCAGAAUAAGCACCGGCUAACUCUGUGCCAGCAGCCGCCGUAACAC